rnacentral:rRNA from 1 species
UACAGAGGUCCCAAGCGUUGUUCGGAUUCACUGGGCGUAAAGGGUGCGUAGGUGGUGAGGUAAGUCGGAUGUGAAAUCUCCAGGCUCAACCUGGAAAUGGCAUUGGAAACUACCUUGCUAGAGGGUUUGAGGGGGGACUGGAAUACUUGGUGUAGCAGUGAAAUGCGUAGAUAUCAAGUGGAACACCAGUGGCGAAGGCGAGUCCCUGGAGAAUACCUGACACUGAGGCACGAAAGCUAGGGGAGCAAACAGG